CUCUUAUCAAGAGCAGGCGGAGGGAUUUGGCCCGAUGAUGCCCAGCAACCGACCGUAAUACCAUUGUAAAAUGGGGCGAUGUUCAUCGCCAAAUGUAAGGCACGGUGCUACUUCCAACAGAAUGUAAUUGUUCUGGCAGAUAAGAG
rnacentral:ncRNA from 2 species